ANCCUUUGCGAGGGGGGAUAACAGUUGGAAACGACUGAUAAUCCCGCAUAAAGUAUACGGCCCAAAGGGGGCUUUUAGCUCUCGNCGUGAAGAGAGGCCCAAGUGAGAUUAGCUAGUUGGUGAGGUAAAGGCUCACCAAAGGCGACGAUCUCUAGCUGUUCUGAGAGGAAGAUCAGCCACACUGGGACUGAGACACGGCCCAGACUCCUACGGGAGGCAGCAGUGGGGAAUAUUGCACAAUGGGGGAAACCCUGAUGCAGCCAUGCCGCGUGUGUGAAGAAGGCCUUCGGGUUGUAAAGCACUCUCAGUUGUGAGGAAAGGUUGGUAGUUAAUACCUGCCAGCUGUGACGUUAACAACAGAAGAAGCACCGGCUAACUCCGUGCCAGCAGCCGCGGUAAUACGGAGGGUGCGAGCGUUAAUCGGAAUUACUGGGCGUAAAGCGCACGCAGGCGGUUUGUUAAGCUAGAUGUGAAAGCCCCGGGCUCAACCUGGGAUGGUCAUUUAGAACUGGCAGACUAGAGUCUUGGAGAGGGGAGUGGAAUUCCAGGUGUAGCGGUGAAAUGCGUAGAGAUCUGGAGGAACAUCAGUGGCGAAGGCGACUCCCUGGCCAAAGACUGACGCCCAUGUGCGAAAGUGUUGGUAUCUAACGGGAUUAGAUACCCUGGUAGUCCACACCGUAAACGCUGU
rnacentral:rRNA from 1 species